rnacentral:sRNA from 1 species
UUCGUGUAUGCUACGAUGUGGUGCAGUUC